GCAAUAUACGGUGUCUAUAAUAGAUUGAAAAGUCAACUUAUAUAAAGAGUGCUCUCUUGCACAUCCAAUUUUUCCAAUACUUUAUCUUUCCUCCUUUCAUUUUUAUCGAUUUUACUACCAAGAUCAGCAAGGAAAAUACUACCAUUCAAGACAAUACUACAGUUGAGUAAGAUGAAAGUUAGCUGUGUCGUCGUCAUGCUGCUCUUGUCACUCUUCGUGUCACAAUCAUAUUCUGUUAAUCCUUAUCAUUGUCCUCCUCGUGCGGUAUGCAAAAAGAAAUACACUAGAUCAAUAAGGGCCCGUUUAGCAAUCAAGUCUGAUGGACCUUUUUUUGAGAAAGGAGGGGAGACCCAAGAUCUCGCAGUGGAUGAUGGACCACAAGCUUGGAGGAGAGAAUCGAAAAUAUGAUAUUGGACUUGUUGAGGGAAACGAUUUCUAUUGAUAAUGAAUAAUUUAAGAAUGAAAUUGUAUACGGAAAACUUUAAGAACGAAGUAAAGUGCAAAAUCUAA